rnacentral:lncRNA from 1 species
UUCACAGUGAUUUGAUUGCAAAUACCAUUCUGAGCACUAAUGCCCCAUCCUGUUUUCCAGGGUAUCAGAUACAACUGCAAUAUCAGCACCCUGAUGGCUCCUACAGUGAAUUUGGUACCAAGGAUGAGUAUGGUAAUACUUGGCUGACUGCAUUUGUGGUUAAAUGCUUUGUCCAAGCCAAGCCAUACAUUUUCCUGGACAAGAGGACCAUAGAAGCUGCUCUGACCUGGCUGGAGUUCCACCAGCUUCCCAGCGGUUGCUUCAGAAAUGUGGGCCAACUUGUUCACACAUUCAUGAAGGGAGGUGUAGAUGGGGAAGUCCCCUUGACUGCCUACAUCACUGCUGCAUACUUGGAGGCAGGAGCAACACCAGAGGUAAAUACUGGGAUUCUUUGCCAUGCUCUUGCCUUAAGAUCUGAAUCCUAAAGAGCUUAGUGGUAUCACUGGGACAGGCAACAGAGCAUCUUGGAGAGAUUUGUGGACAAAGUAAUAGGAUGGGCAAGGAAGAUCUUACCACUUCUUGGGAAAAAGCCUCAACUAUCCCUUGAGGAGGACAUUGCUGGCAGGGAGAAGGUGAGAUUAAACUACUGGGGCCAUUGGACUUCAUGGCUAGACACUAUGGCCAUUUCCCAGGCUUUACUGCUCAUUCCUGUUCCCCUCACCCCCCCUUCCUCCCAUCCUCUUGUUAGCC